AUCCCAAAGAAUCACACUUGUUAUAGUUCUUUUCUUAGGUGUUUUUUGUUUGUUUGUUUUUGUUUUUGUUUUUUGCCUUUCCAGGGCCUUGAAAAGACUGAGGGAUGUGUGUGAUGAUCCACCAAGCUUCUCUAGUCACCAUUGCACUUCAGAUGACCUUAGAUAGCAUGAUGCGAAAACUCUAGGCUUGUUUUCUUGCUCAGAGAGAAGCUUUCUUGCUCAGAAGACUGUUGAUACUUUAUUAUCUUAUCAGGGACUCUCUCUUACUUUUUCUUUCCUAAGCUCCUUUAUCCUAGAGUAGGCACAACAGGUAAAAAAAAAAUUGAGUCUGUUUUGUACUUAAUAGCUGUAGUCGUAAGCUGACUUACGACUUGAGAGGGAAGCUUACAAUGAUGGUGUAAAAGGAAGGUUUUGAAAUAUCUGCGUAUUUUAAUUUGUAAAAUGUUCCCAGUUUUGCUAAAUAGGAAUUCUUUUUUAAAUUUGUUUAGUUUUUUUAGUAAUCUCUACACCCAACGUGGGGCUCGAACUCAUGACCUGGAGAUUAAGAGUCCUACACUCCACUGACUGAGCCAGCCAGGCACUUGGAGUGGGAAAUUGAUGAAAACUAGAGUGACUUCAAAAUCAGGAAGAAUGAUUUAGUUUGUAAAAGGCAAACAACUAAAUGUGGAAGGUCAGUCCUUGGUAUUGUAUUAUCUGGAGACCUAUUCAGGAUUUUGGGGACUAGGCUUCUUUCAGUUAAGUGUUUUUUUCCUGGGUAUCAAUUCUAUGCUAGGCCCUGAGGAUACAAAGUGAAAAGGUAUAUGGCCUCCAUGUUGGGGUGGAGCCUGCUUAAGAAUGGCUCCCUCUCCCUUUGCCUCUCUCCCCCCAAAUAAGUUAA